CAGAAGGAGUGGACUCCCGGAGAAAAAGACGUGCGCUUUAAGAAAAAGUGAUAUCUCCCUGUAUGCCCCCUUCACCUAUUCAGGUGCAUCUUGAAGAUAUGCAAGAGUUUUUUUGUCAGCCUGCGCAGAUAAGAGGCUGCUGAACUCUUUAAAAACACAAACCGGAAGAUGCAAAUGAAAUAAUUUGAGUGGCAGGAGGGAAAAAAAAUCAAGCUGACAAUGUGUGAAAGGGGAAAUUAUUCUGAGGACGGGUCUUCAGCUGUGUGAAUAUAACGAUGUUGACAGCUUUCCUUCCUGAGUGUUGAGCUCCAGCAGCAGAUCAGCCCACAUUUCACACAGAGGAAACCCAGGAGGCGCUUCACACUCUCUGACAGACAGCAGAGGACGGCAGCAUCAUUUGGUUUAACAAGCCGAUGUUGGGAUAAGAGGUGCAGGCCACUGACAGUGACUGUUAGCGAUGAAAAUUAUUAAAGAUGUGAGAAGAAAGAGGAGCCAAAUGACUUCCACAACACUCCCAGGAGAAUGCCAGGAGAAGAAAUUCAAAUAAAUUGUAAAGAGAAAGAUUGACUGACUGUAUGUUUUUUUAUUUCUUUGUUUAUUUGAUGACGCAAAGUGAAGAAAGUAUGGAGGAGAUGUGGGAGAGGUGAUAUGAUUCACUGGGAAGACUGUGGCACGAGGUUGUCGAGGAGUUAUGAUGGAUGUUUGGGAUUGAGUCAGUCGUUUUGAAGUCUUUUUUACCGCUGGAAUGAUAAAAGUCACGUCUGUCAGAUUAUGAAGAUUAUGUGAGAUUACUGGUGUUAUACUGUGCGCAGAUGUGAGAGGAAGUUUAGCUUUGGCAGCAGUUUAGUUGCAAAUUUAGUUGAAAAUUUAUAUGUUCACAGAUCCACAUUGGGAUCCAUUUCAACACGUCACAUUUAUAUCGGGCAGUAUAAAUGUAUCCAAUACUUUUAUAAUGUUAAUAUGAGUAUAAAUGAAAAAUA